UCGUCGAGCUCCAGCCGUCCCCGCCAACCGGAGAGGCCAUCACCAGACCUUGACCACCACCGCCGACGUGAGAGGCCAUCACCAGACCUUGACCACCACCGCCGACCUGAGAGGCCAUCGCCAGACCUUGACCACCGCCGUCGACCUGAGAGGCGAUCACCAGACCUUGACCACCACCGCCGACCUGAGAGGUCAUCACCGGACCUUGAGUACCACCGCCGACCUGAGAGGCUGUCCCCAGAUCGUCGAUCGCGUGACCCUGAACUUCCUCGCCCUUCUUCCAAGAGAAAGUAUGAAGAUUAUGAUGAUCAUCACCAUGAGGACCGUCAUCAGCGCGAGCAUGCCCAUCGCAGUAGCAGUAGCCAUCAC
rnacentral:lncRNA from 1 species